rnacentral:rRNA from 1 species
AUACGUAGGUGGCGAGCGUUAUCCGGAAUUACUGGGUGUAAAGGGCGCGUAGGCGGGUAUGCAAGUUGGAUGUGAAAUUCCGGGGCUUAACUCCGGAUUGUCAUCUAAAACUGUGUAUCCUGAGUGUCAGAGGGGAAAGUGGAAUUCCUAGUGGAGUGGUAAAAUGCGUAGAUAUUAGGAGGAAUACCAGUGGCGAAGGCGACUCUCUGGACUGCAACUGACGCUAAGGCACGAAAGCGUGGGUAGCGAACAGGAUUAGAUACCCUGGUAGUCCACGCCAUAAACGCUGAUUACUAGGUGUAGGGGGUAUAGACUCCCUCUGUGCCGCAGUUAACGCAUUAAGUAAUCCACCUGGAGAGUACGGCCGCAAGGUUAAA